rnacentral:rRNA from 1 species
UACAGAGGGCUCAAGCGUUGUUCGGAUUCAUUGGGCGUAAAGGGCGCGUAGGUGGCGCCGUAAGUCAGGUGUGAAAUCUCGGGGCUCAACCCCGAAACUGCACUUGAUACUGCGGUGCUCGAGUACUGGAGAGGAGAUUGGAAUUUACGGUGUAGCAGUGAAAUGCGUAGAUAUCGUAAGGAAGACCAGUGGCGAAGGCGAAUCUCUGGACAGUUACUGACACUGAGGCGCGAAGGCCAGGGGAGCAAACGGG